rnacentral:rRNA from 1 species
AUUGAACGCUGGCGGCAGGCCUAACACAUGCAAGUCGAGCGAGCGGCGGACGGGUGAGAAAUGUAUGGGGACUGCCCGAUAGAGGGGGAUAACUACUGGAAACGGUAGCUAAUAACGCAUACUAUCGGAUAACCCAUAUGGGAUUAGUUAGUAGGUGAGGUAAUGGCUCACCUAGGCGACGAUCCCUAGCUGGUCUGCGAGGAUGAUCAGCAAACUUGGGACUGAGACAGGGCCAAGACGCCUCCGGGGGAAGCAGUGGGGAAUAUUGCACAAUGGGCGAAAGCCUGAUGCGCCCAUGCCGCGUGGAUGAAGCAGGCCUUAGGGUUUUAAAGUACUUUCAGUCGGGAGGCGUUACCGAAAGAAGAAGCACCGGCUAACUCCGUGCCAGCAGCCGCGGUAAUAC